rnacentral:rRNA from 1 species
CCUACGGGAGGCAGCAGUGAGGAAUAUUGGUCAAUGGGCGCAAGCCUGAACCAGCCAAGUCGCGUGAGGGAAGACGGUCCUAUGUAUUGUAAACCUCUUUUGUCGGGGAGCAAAAGACGCCACGUGUGGCGUUCCGAGCGUACCCGAAGAAAAAGCAUCGGCUAACUCCGUGCCAGAAGCCGCGGUAAUACGGAGGAUGAGAGCGUUAUCCGGAUUUAUUGGGUGUAAAGGGUGCGCAGGUGGAAGCUAAAGUCAGCGGGAAAAUUGAGAGGCUCAACCUCUUCGAGCCGUUGAAACUGGUUUUCUUGAGUGAGCGAGAGGUAUGCGGAAUGCGUGGUGUAGCGGUGAAAUGCAUAGAUAUCACGCAGAACUCCGAUUGCGAAGGCAGCAUACCGGCGCUCAACUGACGCUCAUGCACGAAAGUGUGGGUAUCGAACAGGAUUAGAUACCCUGGUAGUC